rnacentral:lncRNA from 1 species
CGGGCGGGGCGACCCGAUAGCGCCUCCUGGCGGCAGAGCAGCGCUAUGGCAUGCGGAACGGCCUCGGGCAGCCCGCACGUGGCCUGCGGGAAGGAAGCCGUUUCAAGUUGUGAAGGCAGAGCCCAGGGUUCCCGAGCACACAGGUGAGGUGUCCUUCACUGUGCUGCGGCCUUCUGCUGCUUCCCCAGUGACACGUGUACCCCUCACGCUGAAAACAGCGAGUAAGGGAAUGGAUAUAAAACCAGGAAGGUUGUGGAGUAAAGUUUCACCUGAAGAAAGCAUUGGAUUGAGACUCAGAAGCCCUGACCCGUACCUUUGGUGA